rnacentral:rRNA from 1 species
CUACGGGGGGCAGCAGCGGGGAAUAUUGGGCAAUGGGCGCAAGCCUGACCCAGCAACGCCGCGUGAGGGAAGAAUGUCUUCGGAUUGUAAACCUCUGUCCUUAGGGACGAAAAAAAUGACGGUACCUAAGGAGGAAGCUCCGGCUAACUACGUGCCAGCAGCCGCGGUAAUACGUAGGGAGCAAGCGUUGUCCGGAAUUAUUGGGCGUAAAGGGUGCGUAGGCGGUAAUCCAAGUCAGAUGUGAAAGACCCGGGCUUAACUCGGGAGGUGCAUUUGAAACUGGGUUACUUGAGUACAGGAGAGGUAAGUGGAAUUCCUAGUGUAGCGGUGAAAUGCGUAGAUAUUAGGAGGAACACCAGUGGCGAAGGCGACUUACUGGACUGUCACUGACGCUGAGGCACGAAAGCGUGGGGAGCAAACAGGAUUAGAUACCCCGGUAGUC